UGUUUUUUUAAUUUUUCCUAUUUUUAUUUCUUCUUUUCUCAACCGGUGAGAAUUCUUUCACGUCUUCUAUUCCUGUACCUUCACAGUUUGGCUAAUUACGAAUUACCCAAGCAGUUACAAUUUUGCCAUCCGAAGAGGAUUCCAUAUUUUGAGUGGGAAUAGUCUUGAAAUUUUGUUUUCUUCUAAGAUCUGGAAGAGUGCCAAUAUUU
rnacentral:lncRNA from 1 species